rnacentral:rRNA from 1 species
UACGUAGGGGGCGAGCGUUGUCCGGAUUCAUUGGGCGUAAAGAGCGUGUAGGCGGCCUGACAGGUCUGCUGUGAAAACUCGAGGCUCAACCUCGAGAUGUCGGCGGAAACCGUCUGGCUAGAGUCCGGAAGAGGAGAGUGGAAUUCCUGGUGUAGCGGUGAAAUGCGCAGAUAUCAGGAAGAACACCUAUGGCGAAGGCAGCUCUCUGGGACGGUACUGACGCUGAGACGCGAAAGCGUGGGGAGCGAACAGG